rnacentral:lncRNA from 1 species
GCUUGAGCUUUAUAUUGGUAAAGGAUCUAAUUAAUUACCUAAUUUAGCAUGAUUUCGGGAUCCUCUAUCCAUCAAUUAUGAAGUUGCUUGUUAUUCAUAGAAUAAAGAGUGAGACACGCAGAAUGUCUCCUUAUCCUAUAAUUACCAACUCCUGAUCAACACUUAAACAAUAUGAUAACAGAACACAACCGACUUCCGUUCCUUUUCCUUGACUAAUGCAAUACAGGAAGCUCGAAUUUAUUUGCUUCAUGAGGCAGUUGAAAUUUUAUGAUUACAAUACGUAAUGAUAAAGCUACACUAUAUCUAACUAACGAAUGAACAUCAGUCGAGCAAUCCAAGUUUGAUUACAAAUGUUAUCUAGAAAAUGUGCAAAUUAGUACAAUUCAAAUUACAACUAAUUCAGAAUCUCAAACUAGAACAACAGGUGGACAUUUUAUUCCAUGACUUGAGCUCAAAAUCACAGCAGAAGUACAGAUCUGAGUACCUGGAAUUCGAGACAACAGAAAGAAGAGUGAGGAUCGACAGAUAAAGCAAUAUCAACAGUGUUUCAGUAGUAAAAUCUACCCAAAAAACUAUCAGAAGGAAUCCAUUUGAACCCACUUGAAACCAAACAACAUCAAUAGACACCAGCCAUCAGAAAUACACCCCAAAUAAGCUCAAAUGAACCAGAGAAUACUUCAAAUCUCAGAGAUUCCAGACAUCAGCAGCAGAAAAUCAAUGAAACAGUAGAUGUAUUUAUGGUUUUUCCAUUUCUGAAUGUUUUUAUUUUUUUGCGUGCUUGAAUGCCAAAGUUAAUAUGGAAUUGAAAACUGAAGGAGAAGGAGUUUUUCUAUGGGACUUUUGGCUGAAAGGUCAAGCAACGAACUCAGAACUUCAGUAGCAAUUUCAGGACUCAACAACACCCCAAAUGAACUCGAAAUGACAUACCAAAACAAACCUCGAACCUCACCACCCAAAACAACAACAAAAUGAACUCGAAUUCAAAUGCAAACAGCUUCUAAUUCUCAGCAACCCUUUGUUGAAUCCAAAGAUCGAAUUACACUACUCAAACUUGAAUUUAAACUAAAAUAAACAAUAGAGCAGUGACUUUGUUUUGGUUUUCUUUUUUUUGUAUUUUGAAUAUGAAGAGAGCUGAAAUUUGAAGUCUGGAUUCAAAUUUCAGAUCUUCAAGACUUGAAGAGCUUCUGAGGGAUUUUUAGGCUGCCCAAACUUGAUUUUUCUUCUCUAAAAUUAGGAUUUGAGAGAGUUUUUCAGAAUUUUUUCUCAUUGUGAAUUCCCCCCCNNN